AUACGGAGGGUGCAAGCGUUAUUCGGAAUCACUGGGCGUAAAGGACGCGUAGGCGGGUUGGCAAGUCAGAUGUGAAAUCCUACAGCUUGACUGUAGAACUGCAUUUGAAACUGCUAACCUAGAGUAUGGGAGGGGGAGAUGGAAUUAGUGGUGUAGGGGUAAAAUCCGUAGAUAUCACUAGGAAUACCGAAAGCGAAGGCGAUCUCCUGGAACAUAACUGACGCUAAGGCGUGAAAGCGUGGGGAGCAAACAGGAUUAGAAACCCUUGUAGUCC
rnacentral:rRNA from 1 species